rnacentral:rRNA from 1 species
UGGGGAAUUUUGGACAAUGGGCGCAAGCCUGAUCCAGCCAUGCCGCGUGCAGGAUGAAGGCCUUCGGGUUGUAAACUGCUUUUGUACGGAACGAAAAGCCCUUCUCUAAUACAGAGGGGUCAUGACGGUACCGUAAGAAUAAGCACCGGCUAACUACGUGCCAGCAGCCGCGGUAAUACGUAGGGUGCAAGCGUUAAUCGGAAUUACUGGGCGUAAAGCGUGCGCAGGCGGCUUUGCAAGACAGAUGUGAAAUCCCCGGGCUCAACCUGGGAACUGCAUUUGUGACUGCAUGGCUAGAGUACGGUAGAGGGGGAUGGAAUUCCGCGUGUAGCAGUGAAAUGCGUAGAUAUGCGGAGGAACACCGACGGCGAAGGCAAUCCCCUGGACCUGUACUGGCGCUCAUGCACGAAAGCGUGGGGAGCAAACA